rnacentral:rRNA from 1 species
UACGAAGGGUGCAAGCGUUAAUCGGAAUUACUGGGCGUAAAGCGUGCGUAGGUGGUUUUUUAAGUCUGCUGUGAAAGCCCUGGGCUCAACCUGGGAAUGGCGGUGGAUACUGAAAAGCUAGAGUGCGGUAGAGGAGGGUGGAAUUCCUGGUGUAGCGGUGAAAUGCGCAGAUAUCAGGAGGAACACCGAUGGCGAAGGCAGCUCGCUGGGACGGUACUGACGCUGAGGCGCGAAAGCGUGGGGAGCAAACGGG